rnacentral:rRNA from 1 species
CCUACGGGAGGCAGCAGUGGGGAAUAUUGCACAAUGGGGGAAACCCUGAUGCAGCGACGCCGCGUGAGUGAAGAAGUAUUUCGGUAUGUAAAGCCCUAUCAGCAGGGAAGAAGCAAGACGGUACCUGACUAAGAAGCGCCGGCUAACUACGUGACAGCAGCCGCGGUAAUACGGAGGGGUCAAGCGUUAUCCGGAUUUACUGGGGGUAAAGGGAGCGUAGACGGUAUGGCAAGUCUGAAGUGAAAGCCCAGGGCCUAACCCUGGGACUGCUUUGGAAACUGGUAGACUAGAGGGCUGGAGAGGUAAGUGGAAUUCCUGGUGUAGCGGUGAAAUGCGUAGAUAUUAGGAGGAACACCAGUGGCGAAGGCAGCUUACUGGACAGUAACUGACGUUGAGGCUCGAAAGCGUGGGGAGCAAACAGGAUUAGAUACCCCAGUAGUC